rnacentral:rRNA from 1 species
GACGAACGCUGGCGGCGUGCUUAACACAUGCAAGUCGAACGGAAAGGCCCUGCUUUUGUGGGGUGCUCUAGUGGCGAACGGGUGAGUAACACGUGAGUAACCUGCCCUUGACUUUGGGAUAACUUCAUGAAACUGGGGCUAAUACCGGAUAGGAGCUCCUGCUGCAUGGUGGGGGUUGGAAAGUUUCGGCGGUUGGGGAUGGACUCGCGGCUUAUCAGCUUGUUGGUGGGGUAGUGUCUUACCAAGGCUUUGACGGGUAGCCGGCCUGAGAGGGUGACCGGCCACAUUGGGACUGGGCUACGGCACAGACUACUACGGGAGGCAGCAGUGGGGAAUAGUGCACUAUGGGCGGAAGCCUAAUGCAGCAACGCCGCGUGCGGGAUGACGGCCUUCGGGUUGUAAACCGCUUUCGCCUGUGACGAAGCGUGAGUGACGGUAAUGGGUAAAGAAGCACCGGCUAACUACGUG